rnacentral:rRNA from 1 species
GGCGAGCGAAAUGGGACAAGCCCAAACCAAAGUUGUUUCGGCAAUUUUGGGGUUGUAGGACCACGAUAUCUGUUGUUCAAAGAACUUGAAUGGUUUUGGAAGAGCCAACCAAAGAGGGUGAAAGUCCCGUAAAGGUAAUAUUGAAUAAAUGGUAGUGGUAUCCUGAGUAGCGCGGGACACGAGAAAUCCUGUGUGAAUCUGUCAGAACCAUCUGAUAAGGCUAAAUACUCCUGAAAGACCGAUAGUGCACUAGUACCGUGAGG